UACGAAGGUGGCAAGCGUUGUUCGGAUUUACUGGGCGUACAGGGAGCGUAGGCGGUUGGAUAAGCCCUCCGUGAAAUCUCCAGGCUUAACCUGGAAAGUGCAGAGGGGACUGUUCAGCUAGAGGAUGGGAGAGGAGCGCGGAAUUCCCGGUGUAGCGGUGAAAUGCGUAGAGAUCGGGAGGAAGGCCGGUGGCGAAGGCGGGUCUCUGGACAGUUCCUGACGCUGAGGCACGAAGGCCAGGGGAGCAAACGGG
rnacentral:rRNA from 1 species